rnacentral:rRNA from 1 species
UGCAGUCGAGCGAGAAGUGGAGCAAUCCAUGAGUAAAGCGGCGUACGGGUGAGUAACACGUGGAUGAUCUACCCUCUAGUGGGGAAUAACCCAGGGAAACCGGGGCUAAUACCGCAUAAGCACGAGAGUGGAAAGCAGCAAUGCGCUGGAGGAGGAGUCCGCGGCCGAUUAGCUAGUUGGCAGGGUAAAAGCCUACCAAGGCAAAGAUCGGUAGCCGGCCUGAGAGGGCACACGGCCACACUGGCACUGAAACACGGGCCAGACUCCUACGGGAGGCAGCAGUGGGGAAUCUUGCACAAUGGGGGAAACCCUGAUGCAGCGACGCCGCGUGAGCGAUGAAGCCCUUCGGGGUGUAAAGCUCUUUCGGCAGGGAAGAUUAUGACGGUACCUGCAGAAGCAGCUGCGGCUAACUACGUGCCAGCAGCCGCGGUAAUACGUAGGCAGCGAGCGUUGUUCGGAGUUACUGGGCGUAAAGGGUGUGUAGGCGGUCGUUUAAGUUUGGUGUGAAAUCUCCCGGCUCAACUGGGAGGGUGCGCCGAAUACUGAAUGACUAGAGUGCGGGAGAGGUGAGUGGAAUUCCUGGUGUAGCGGUGAAAUGCGUAGAUAUCAGGAGGAACACCGGUGGUGUAGACGGCUCACUGGACCGUAACUGACGCUGAGACACGAGAGCGUGGGUAGCAAACAGGAUUAGAUACCCUGGUAGUCCACGCCCUAAACGAUGCAUAUUUGGUGUGGGCAGUUCAUUCUGUCCGUGCCGGAGCUAACGCGUUAAAUAUGCCGCCUGGGGA